rnacentral:rRNA from 1 species
UACGUAGGGGGCUAGCGUUGUCCGGAUUUAUUGGGCGUAAAGAGCGUGUAGGCGGCCAGGUAGGUCUGCUGUGAAAACUCGAGGCUCAACCUCGAGACGUCGGCGGAAACCAUCUGGCUAGAGUCCGGAAGAGGAGAGUGGAAUUCCUGGUGUAGCGGUGAAAUGCGCAGAUAUCAGGAAGAACCCCCGUGGCGAAGGCGGCUCUCUGGGACGGUACUGACGCUGAGGCGCGAAAGCUAGGGGAGCAAACGGG